UUGAAUGCAGACCAACUCAAAUGUUGAAGCCUACAAAUAUAUCAUCCAAGCUUUCAUUUAUGAUUGUUCAUGCUUUUAAAUUGUGAUGUCAGAAUUUGAUAAAGUGUGCACUGCUAGGUGUAGCAAAUCAUUGCUUAUUAAAUCUACUCUGUUAUCUAAUAGCACCAAACUAAUAGAGCUAUCACAUAACUGAGAAACUUGUGUGGCUUAUUACAAAUGGAUGAAACCACAUAUUACCUUAAUGAAGACAGUAAUCUUUAAUAAGGUGUAGAAAAAAAGAGGUGAGUUGUUUGUUGCUGUGGUAAACAAAGAAGUGUACUGAAUCUUUUGGACUACACAGAGUGAUGCAGUAUUGACUGUGAUGCUGAUUUGAGUUGUCUCAUUCUGUAUUUUUGUGCUUUGUCUUUUGUUACACAGAGUGAAAGAGAUCUUUGGUUUUGCCUUUGCUGACUGCUGAUCUGAUCGUCUCAAGUCUGGUGACCUGCUGCAGAAAACCCUCUCCCUCUAUCGUUGACAAGCAAUUAACAAGCAAUUUCAGUCUGUCCUAUCACUCUCCCUCCC